UGUUAAAAAUUUCUUCCAUUUCUACUGUUAAAAAUUGAUGCGGUUGACGGAAUAACCAAAUAGUUACACGUGGUGUACCACGUAUACCUCAUUUUAACGUAUAGGAUUGAUUUUUAAUAGUAGAAAUGGAUGAAAUUUUUAACA
rfam:Gossypium raimondii Chr01_contig_187, whole genome shotgun sequence.